AGUGAACGCUGGCGGCAGGCCUAACACAUGCAAGUCGAACGGCCGCACAGUAAGCUCUUGCUCUUACUGUUGGCGGGUGGCGGACGGGUGAGGAAUACAUCGGCAUCUACUUUUUCGUGGAUGACAUCGUAGAGAAACUUACGCUACUACCGCAUACGUCCUACCGCUGAAAUCAGGAGAUCCUCACAGCUUGCCUGAUUCAAUUAGCCGAAGUCGCAUUAGCUAGUUGGCUGGGUAAGGGCACACCAAGGCAACGAUGCGUAGCAGGUCUGAGAGGAUGAUCAGCCACACUGGAACUGAGACACGGUCCAGACUCCUACGGGAGGCAGCAGUGGGGAAUAUUGCGCAAUGGGCGCAAGCCUGACCCAGCAAUGCCGCGUGAGUGAAGAAGGUCUUCGGGUCGUAAAGCCCUGUUAUUAGGAAAGAAAAGCAGUAGGUGAAUCCGUCGCUGUUCUGACGGUACCCAAAGAGUAAGCCACGGCUAACUUCGUG
rnacentral:rRNA from 1 species